rnacentral:rRNA from 1 species
AUUGAACGCUGGCGGCAUGCCUUACACAUGCAAGUCGAACGGUAACAGGUCUUCUGAUGCUGACGAGUGGCGAACGGGUGAGUAAUACAUCGGAACGUGCCCGAUCGUGGGGGAUAACGAGGCGAAAGCUUUGCUAAUACCGCAUACGAUCUACGGAUGAAAGCGGGGGAUCUUCGGACCUCGCGCGGACGGAGCGGCCGAUGGCAGAUUAGGUAGUUGGUGGGAUAAAAGCUUACCAAGCCGACGAUCUGUAGCUGGUCUGAGAGGAUGAUCAGCCACACUGGGACUGAGACACGGCCCAGACUCCUACGGGAGGCAGCAGUGGGGAAUUUUGGACAAUGGGCGAAAGCCUGAUCCAGCCAUGCCGCGUGCAGGAUGAAGGCCUUCGGGUUGUAAACUGCUUUUGUACGGAACGAAAAGCCUCUUUCUAAUAAAGAGGGGUCAUGACGGUACCGUAAGAAUAAGCACCGGCUAACUACGUG